UAGCUAACGCAUUAAGUACCCCGCCUGGGGAGUACGGCCGCAAGGCUAAAACUCAAAGGAAUUGACGGGGCCCCGCACAAGCGGCGGAGCAUGCGGAUUAAUUCGAUGCAACGCGAAGAACCUUACCUGGGUUUGACAUAUAUCGGAAACGUUCAGAGAUGGGCGCCCCGUAAGGUCGGUAUACAGGUGGUGCAUGGCUGUCGUCAGCUCGUGUCGUGAGAUGUUGGGUUAAGUCCCGCAACGAGCGCAACCCUCGUCCAAUGUUGCCAGCGGGUUAUGCCGGGGACUCAUUGGAGACCGCCGGGGUCAACUCGGAGGAAGGUGGGGAUGACGUCAAGUCAUCAUGCCCCUUAUGUCCAGGGCUUCACGCAUGCUACAAUGGCCGGUACAAAGAGUUGCGAGCCUGUGAGGGUGAGCGAAUCUCAAAAAGCCGGUCUCAGUUCGGAUUGGGGUCUGCAACUCGACCCCAUGAAGUCGGAGUCGCUAGUAAUCGCAGAUCAGCGACGCUGCGGUGAAUACGUUCCCGGGGCUUGUACACACCGCCCGUCAAGUCAUGAAAGUCGGUAACACCCGAAGCCGGUGGCCUAACCCGUUUGGGGGGGAGCUGUCGAAGGUGGGACUGGUAAUUAGGACUAAGUCGUAACAAGUAGCC
rnacentral:rRNA from 1 species